ACAUGUAUUAUUUUUCUUCUACUUCGUACAAACAGAAGUAUAAUUGAUAUAUUAUGAUACGAGGUUGGAGGUAAAAUCAUACCUGUGAAAUUGGAAGAGCAUCGUUUGCUGACUUCUUUUUGCUCUCCCUAACCGAGAAGAAGGAAUACAAUCCCAUACCAAAUAUGGCGACCAGAAUGCCUAAUAUGUUCCUCAUGGUGAAGGGAUCGUGUAGUAGAGUGUAACCAAAUGAGAGAACCAGGCAUGUCUUAAGGUGGCCAAGCACCUGGUAUUUGUAACUGGAUGAGUAUUCAGAACAUACCACAACUGGAGUGGUGUAUUUGUGGGCGAAGACACUGCGGUUCGUAAGGAGUUUAUCCACAAAGGGGCCAGUUGCGAACAGAAUUGCUGCUUGAUGACAAUGGCAACUGAAGAUGCAACAGAGAGAGCGAGAGAUCCAAUCACACCAAGCUGUAAGCCAGCUGUCAUCUUGAGCAGCUGGUGUUUCCUUGCUUAUCUGAAGUUACAUUAUUCAUAAAGAGAGUUAGGUGCAAGGUACGCAUGCUACAUAUACACCAAAGAACAUAGUGUACUAGUAUCAUGAAUUAAUUGCUAUUCUAAGACUGUAGAGUUCCUAAAGAAAUGGUGUUGCAGUGUCAUUUAUUUUAUGCUACAUGUGACUAUGCCUUUCUGUUUUCAUAUGAAAUAGAACACCAGCUUAAUGUACAAGAUAACAUGACUACAUGAGAACUGAGGGGCCCAAGUUAGGUUGAGUCAUUUGGGUGGUAGGUAGUGUUUGAAUAUUUAUUAAUGUCCAUGGAGAGGAAUAAUUGUGAUCAUUGAUAUUUUUCCUGGAAUGGAACUGGUCAAAGUGAUAGUUAGCCCAAGUCGUUGACAGGAAUUAUAACAGUCAGAUGUUAUCUUUGUUAAGUUUGUUAUACCAUGAUAAUGCUUAAGAUUAUUAUGCGUCACAUAAAUUUCAGAGAAUAAAGCUUCAAAGCAACCAACAGAUAUAUUUGCAGCACAUACUUGUACACCAGAUCAGAACAAUCAUUAACACAUUACUGAUUACAAAGGAAGCACAAGAAACUACUAAGACUAGCAAGUGAGAUAUGCCUAUGUAUUAAUUACUCCCUCCGACCCAUAUUAAGUGUCGUGGUUUUAGUUCAUUUUUAGUCAAAUUUGAACUAAAACCAUGUCACUUAUUAUGGAUUGGAGGGAAUAAUUAACUAUCAGAUCCAGUACAUGGGGUAUGAAUGUUAGAUAUCAUUUUUUUGUUAAACAUGCCUGUAUAUUGUCCUCUAUACGUUAUACCGGACCUAACUAUUGCCUUUUUUUGGAUCUAUAACUAAUCUGGAGAGUUGGUACUUGCCACCUACUGGGCUGUUUCUGGGAGGGUACAAUAAUCGAAGGUGGUUCCAGUUACUCUCAAAUGAUUGACCACUAUGGCAAGAUGCCACUAAAAUGGCCAAAUAGAAGAAGAAAAACACAUGGAAGCCCAUGUGUUGGUCACUUCUUAAGCAUUAUGUUAGUUGAAAUGAUUUUAAAUAACAAGGGGAAUACACGCCAUAAAGUCAAGCUUUUAUCUAGAAGGGGAUUUUUUCUGA